rnacentral:ncRNA from 1 species
GUACAGGGGAGCUGGAUUGGCUGAGAGGUGCGCUGGAGCGCACGACCCUAUAACCUGAUUUGGAUAAUGCCAACGUAGGGAACGGAU